rnacentral:rRNA from 1 species
CCUACGGGAGGCAGCAGUGAGGAAUAUUGGUCAAUGGGCGAAAGCCUGAACCAGCCAAGUCGCGUGAGGGAUUAAGGCCCUAUGGGUCGUAAACCUCUUUUGUCAGGGAGCAAGGCCUCUCACGUGUGGGAGGUUGGAGAGUACCUGAAGAAAAAGCAUCGGCUAACUCCGUGCCAGCAGCCGCGGUAAUACGGAGGAUGCGAGCGUUAUCCGGAUUUAUUGGGUUUAAAGGGUGCGUAGGCGGGACCUUAAGUCAGCGGUAAAAUUGCGGUGCUCAACGCCGUAGAGCCGUUGAAACUGGGGUUCUUGAGUGAGCGAGAAGUAUGCGGAAUGCGUGGUGUAGCGGUGAAAUGCAUAGAUAUCACGCAGAACCCCGAUUGCGAAGGCAGCAUACCGGCGCUCAACUGACGCUGAGGCACGAAAG